rnacentral:lncRNA from 1 species
UGGGCAGACCUCAGCUGUGGAGCCACACCAGAGAGGCCGAGAGUCUGCCGGAGCUAGAGGAGGCCAGCCAUGGUGGAGGAGAGGGCAUGACACAGCAAGAGGCACUACUGCUUUUUAUGGGGAAGUCAUUGCAAUGGUUUCCGUUUCUGCACCUGGACGGUUUGUAUCGCUUCAUUGUGCCCUGCUGCUCGGACUUGGAAGUAUUUGAGAAGCUCAGUUUUCCACCUGUGCCAGCAGAGUUCCUGGGCAGGCCAUCCUGCCCCUUAUGCCUGCCUGUCCAAGAUAACUGGCACUUACUUCAUGAGACAUGGGUCUCCUUCCCAGCUGAGCGCCAGACAGGAGAUGAGCUCCGUAGAAGAUUACUGCUGGGCCUCGUAUUUUCCUGCCUUGGAAUUAAUCUGGGGAGGAACCAUCAGUUGUUUGAUCUGGCAGCCAGGGCAGUGCUGACAGGCAUGGACCAGAGAAUUUCCUCCAUUCCAGAAAUACUUAGCAACAGGUUUGUUGGUCUGCCCUAUACUUGAUGUGACUGCCUUAGGGAAUGAGGCAGUGUUGAUCGUUAUUGGAGACAGUACAACAUGAAUAGAUGGAAGAAUUAACAAACAAUGGAUUUGCUGCUCUAGGGAUAUUGUUUGGAAACAUUUCUGGGUUCAAAUAGCCCAGACUGUGAACCUAUCUUGUUUAUCAAAGCUUAAAGGGAUUGCAGGUUACGAAGCUGCAAAAUGGUGACCAGAAAAAGUUUGAGCUAACCGCUGGUGUGGAGCAGGUGCCAAAAAACUAUGCUAAAUUCUUGUCAGAAGUAGAAACAGGUGGAGCAGGGAAAACGAGGGUAAAUGUGUGAAGUUUGGGGGGUUUUGUUUUUCUGUUUGUUUAGUUUGCUUAAAUAAAUAAUGGGGUAAGAAGCUUUUCUUUUCA